rnacentral:rRNA from 1 species
UACGAAGGGGGGCUAGCGUUGCUCGGAAUUACUGGGCGUAAAGCGUGCGCAGGCGGUUUUGUAAGUCUGUUGUGAAAUCCCCGGGCUCAACCUGGGAGUGGCAAUGGAGACUGCAAGGCUAGAGUUUGGCAGAGGGGGGGUAGAAUUCCACGUGUAGCAGUGAAAUGCGUAGAUAUGUGGAGGAACACCGAUGGCGAAGGCAGCCCCCCUGGGUCAAAAACUGACGCUCAUGCACGAAAGCUGGGGAGCAACAGG